ACAGUCAAGGCUUCAAGGAUUUGGAUAGCAGACACUAACCAUGAACUUUUGGCUGGAUUUAAUGAUUAUAGCCAUCUUAAUAGUUGGGGUAAGCAGCAAACAGAUGGUGGAGCAGAGUCCUCAGUCCUUGAAGGUCCAGGAGGGAGAGAGCACUGCUUUCAACUGCAGUUACUCAGAUAGUGCUUCCCGAGGGCUUCAGUGGUUCAAGCAGGAUCAUGGGAAAGACCUCACCUCCCUAUUUUACAUGACUUCUGAGGAGAAGAAGAGAGGAAGGUUAAGAUCCACAAUCAACAGAAAGGAGCGUCUCAGCACCCUGUACAUCAUAGCCUCUCAGCCUGGAGACUCAGGCACCUACCUCUGUGAUGUGGAGGCACAGUGAUCCCCAGGCACCUGCAGCCUGUGCACAAACCCUGCAUCUGGAACUCAGGCCACCAACCUGACCAGGGUUGCACCUGAUGACAUCCCAAGAGUGGUUAUUUUAGGUUCAUCCUUUCUGGUUCAUAUUAGGAGCUUAUAUACAUCUACACCUACAAUUACACAUA